rnacentral:lncRNA from 10 species
AGGUGCCGUACGCGCGCCGCAGCUCCCGGCGCACGAAGUCCGGUAGCUGCAGAGGGGGGCCCCGCGCGCGCUCCACGCGGCCCCAGCGCAGCUCGGUUUGCAGGCUCCCGCCCUCCGGCCACGGCGCCCAGCUCUCGGCCACCGCCGCGGGCGCCUGCAGCGACAGUCCCGAGAUGCCGGCGGCGGCGCAGGGCCGGCGCAGGGUCGUGGCGUAGGCCGGAGGGCAGGCCCACCAGGGCGGCGCGGCCUCGGGUGGCGCGGCGGGGCCGUAGAAGCGGUGGUAUUCCCGUGGGGCCGCCCACUCGCCCGCAUGCAGGCUCCCGGGCCGGCUGCGGAAGCUGUGGGCCUGGACUGGGGGUAGCAGCAGAGGGGCGGCCAGGUAGGUGCAGGUGAGCAGCUGCGGCGGCGGCGGCCAGACGCCCUGUUUGGGCGGCGGCCAGCUGUACACAUACAUGGUCGGCCCCCCAGGCGGCUGCUGUUCUUACUGGGGGCUCCUGCGGAUCCAGACCUGCGGCGGAGGAAGGGAUAUGUAGACAGACUUUCUACUUAACCGCCUCCUGUCCCUGUGGGCCGGUUCCCCGGGACGCCGGUUCAUGGCUUUGGGGGAAUUCAUCCCAAAUCGAACAUUCAGCUCCCCGCCUAGCCUCUUGUCCCAAGGUCGGGCAGAGCCUCAGGCUCCCAGCAGACAAUAAGGAGCCUUUUCAAGCCCUCCGCCGGGAUGCUCUUCCCAGUGACUCCCCACUCACUUGUCUCCUUCAGCCUUGGGGAGCCGGCGGGAUCCAGAGCGGGGCUCCUCUCCGCACUUUGUAGCUGCGUUGCUCCGCUCCAUGCCCUGCCUCAGCCACUCCUCCUGGUUACCAGGCAAAAGGAAACACCUUGAGCUGGCCAGGAGCUACCAGCGUCUGUCUACACCUGGGAGUUCAGUGGCAUGACCAGGGCUCACUGCAACCUUGAUCUGGGCUCAAGUGAUCCUCCUACCUCAGCUUCCUGAGUAGCUAGGACCACAGGUGUGCACCAACCACACCCGACUAAUUUUUGUAGAGAUGAGAUCCCACUAUGUUACCCAGGCUGGUCUUGAACUCCUGGGCUCAGGUGAUCAUCCUGCCUUGGCUUCCCAAAGUACUGGGAUUAUAGGCUUGAGCCACCGUGCCUGGCCUGUGAUCAGAAUUCUCAUUUUUUUAGUCACUAAAAAUGCUGGGGGGCACUCCAUUCUCCAUUAUGUGAUUAGUUCACAUUGCAUGCUUGUAUCAAAACAUCAUAUAUACCCCACAAAUAUAUACAAAAAACUUUAAAAUUUUAAGUAUUAAUUGCUCAGGAAAAAAUUAAAAUGCUGGGGUGCUGAAAUCUCAAGGGCCCCAUUACAAAACUCCUUAGGAACCUCGCCCUCUCUCUGCUGUAAGGACUGGUUCCAGAAUGAGAGAAUUUAAAAGACAUUCCCCCCCCAAAAUGUUCAUAAUGUCACCCCGGAAACCUGCGAAUAUGUUAUAUUACAUGACCAGGGAGAAGUAAGGUUGCAGAUGGCAGUAAGGUUGCUAAUGGGCUGACCUUAAGAUAAGGAGAUGAUCCUGGAUUAUCUGGGUGGACCCAAUGUAAUCACAAGGGUCCUUAACUGUGGAAUAGUGAGGUGGCUGAGUCAGAGGCAGAGUGAUGCAAUGACUGAAAGACUUAACCAGCCAUCACCGGCUUUGAAUACGGAAGACGGUCAUGAGCCAGGGAAUGCAGGCAGGCUCUGGGAGCUGAAAAAAGCAAGAAAAUGGAUUCUCCCCUGGAGCCUCCAGAAGGGAUGCGGUCCUGCCAACCCCUUGUCAGUGAGCCAUUUCAGAUUUCUGACUUCCAGGACUGUAAGAAAAUAAACUUGUCUUGUUUUCAGCCACCAAGUUUGUGGUGAUUUGUUACAACAUCAGUAGGAAACUAAUACACCUCCCUGCUCCUGUUUAUAACUUCGUCCCUGUCCUAAAAUCCCAGCAC